UUACUCACAUGCAUCAGUCUGUGCAGGAUCUGGUCCUAAUAUAGAACCAGUUCUUGAUGUCAUAAAAUCUUUUUUAACAGCAUCUUGUGUUACAUUUAAUUUAUUUCACAUGGCCUCAUAAAAUAAGAUAAAAGCUUGUAAGUCUAAAAGUCAUAUAAAGAAGAUGGGGAAAAAAAGUCCUACCAUGUAUUCAUGUUUAUUAAGCAUUAUCUUCAUGCAACUUACAGGCUUUUAACUCCAGAAUUUCCAAAUGUUUCCCCUGAUCCUAAUUGCAGUCAGCAAGGGCUGUUAGUGCAUGAAACAGAUUGCAGCGGAUGAGCUUUUUGAGUGAGCAAGGCUUUCCCCAGCCUCUCACAGACUAGUGCUCACACUGCCCUUGCUGCACAGGACAGGACUGGAUGUGCCAUCCAGUACACAAGGGUAGGUGGCAGUUCAGCAUCUGGCUAACUCUCUCCAUCCACUAAGCUGCACGUUACUUUGGCUUCUGCAAUAACACAUGGGAUGUGAUAUAUCAGAAGGGCUGCUUUUCAAUUUUUUGUUUUAGCAUGAGCUCCUCUAUGCCAAAGGAAACCUAAAUGAGUAAAGAACAAAUAUCUAGACUGCAAGAGGAGCAACAUGUCUGUUUUGUUUCUGACCGCCAGGUGCAGCACAUGAAGCCUGGGAAUCAUUGCUUGUAUCUCCUGGCGGCCUGCAGACAGAGAAUGGCUCCAAGCAGGAACAUCGUGAGCAGAGGAGCAUCUUUGAAGGCAAAGAUGGCUUCACCCCUCUUCAAGUCAAGGCCAGAAUGCUCCUUCUCCCAGGCUGGUGCUGGCAGCAACAGCAGUAAUGCUAGGAAAGAGAAAAGACACAGAUAAAUGGUAGGCCAGCACAUGCCAGAGCAUGCACCUGAGAGCAGUGUGAUUAACUGCAGGAUGGUGUUUUACAAAACCCUGUGAAAACUACCAGAGUUAAGCUUUGCAAUUUAGGAAAACACUUAUUUUUACCCACGAGGCAAUGCCCAUCAUCACUGCUGAGAGAUUUUAAAGUGGGCCACAAUGGCCAAGCCCUGUUUGAUUUUAGCAACUUUCAUGAGUUGAUGUAAAAGUGUAAAAUGUCAAAGGGGGUGGCUUCUUGCUCCCAGUGUGGGCCCUUUAGUGGUAAUCAUUACUGUAAGGAAACAGAGAGGUCUCACCUCACUGUAGCUGCUGCUAGUGCAGUGCCAUCAGCAGGCAGUCUGGUGGAAGGUGGUAGAGCUUGCACGUUCCCUACACCAUGGCUAAUGCAGUGAGCAGACUGCACCCCCAGCCUCAGCCCUGGAAAAGAAAAGUUACUUCUGGUGGAGUUAAAGGAUUCCUGAGGACAACUUUCAGAAAAGGCAAACUUGAACCACAAUCUGACACAACAGCCAAUAAACAGCUUUGAGAUAAUCGCACGUACCUCUGUGGUAGGCAGUGGUCUAACCCAGGCAGAGAUGCUUUUAGAACAUGGCUUUUCUCACCAGCCCUUGAUAUUUUUCUUGUGAUCAAGGCAACAUCUACAGUGAGAAACCUACGCCACAGCUGUCAGGGCUUCUCUCCAGCAGAUAAUUAAAUUCCAACUCGAUUGCCAUUGUGACAAGUGAGCUCAAGUUUGGUGGUACCAUGCCCGCCAGCCAAACGCAGACGAGAGCCAUCAGCUGCACAGUCAUUAAUGGCUGUGCUGGAAGCAGAGGUGCUGUGGUACUUACUGGCACUCCCCAGGAGGCGGUCAGCCUCCCAGAGACUGACAAUAGCAGGAGCACAUCUCGAGGUGUGACUGCAUUUGGAUCCACAUGCUUACGUGGGAGGCCUGACAAAAGUGGAGUGAGUCAACGAGUUUAGAGGACUUUCAAGAUCUCUUCCACACCAGAGAAAGGCAGGGUUUAGCCUGGGUUGGUGCGUGGUAUGAUUGCUAAAUGCAAGAAGACAAAGUUAUCUGAGUUCUCUGCUUUGGAUUGCACUCUUAAGUUGCUCUUUUAGAUAAAGAGUUUAUUUUUUUUCCCUCUCCGCUUGAUUACAAUAUGCGCAUCUCAUGUUUCUGAAGAUACAUCUAUUCUUCAUAGAAAAGAACAUUAAAACUGAGUUUAUCCAUUAAAAAUCAGACUGCACAUUAGCUUAGAUGUAUUUGGCUUCCUAAUAACUGUUUUUCCAUAGCUGGCCCACAUCAUAUGUAAAUCCACUGUGUAUUUCUAGGCUCGUUAUUGAACUUUACAAUUUUAAAUUCAGCUGGAGGAAGACUGUGAUUUAUUCUCACAAGAGAGAAAUGCUGAUUUGCUACCAGCAUCUCAGAGAGACUCCUCCAGUUCAUAAAAGGUGACCAGGUCUCAUGUUGAAGAACCACAUGAGCCACAUCUGUCCCUUUGCCUUGCUUGUUGCUUGCAGGUUUACAGCCAGCUAAGCUCUGAGGCGGUUAUGGAGAUGGCCUCUGCUGAGGCACGUACUCACCCCAACUCUCUGUGCCAGAUGAAGGACAGCAGGCUACAUGGAGUCUCCUGGAAGUCUCCAUUCUCACCUUAAGACCAAGCACCAGCCAACACUCUGAAUUAUGAAGUACAAAUAUCAGAAAUCACCUUCGUCAUUGGGGGAGGCCUCGGCCUGAAAGCGCCCAACAAAGAGCGGCUGGCGGCAGGUCAAGGUCCUUCCAUUGAGUCGCCCAGUCCCCAUCAGGUUGUGUUGGUGAUCAGCCAGCUGUCAGGGAAAAAAGACUCUCCAGAUCAGUGUGGUCUGGGACCAGGACCAUGGCCUGGGCCUAACUGUAAGAGCUACACUCAUUUAAAGACAGGACAUGGAGAACACAGCGAUGGGGAAAAGCGCAAAAGCUUCAGCAGAUGAGGAAGAGUGAUUUAUUCUUCUGUGUUUUCCCUUGCUGAAACUGCUCAAGAUGUAUUACCAUGGCUACCCACCUGGAAAGGCAACACUUUUCCAGUUACUUCAUGGCAGCACAAGGGACCCCAGGAAAGGCUUCCUUCAGGUGAAGAGAUGCCAGUGACUAUUUCCACCACAAGCCUCCUCCUCCUCCCAUGGUGCCCAUGCCCUCUGUUCUGGCCCUGGCCCCUCCAAAGUCUUCUGCAGGCCUGGGGCUGCCCCACAGAACCAGCCACAUGUACUGUGCUCUGCUCCAUGGGAGCUGCUCUGCAUGGCACAGACCACAGCCAGGUGAGGAGCAAAGGGCAGAUGUGGCAUGGUUAGUCAGCCCAGCUUUGAGCUGGUGUCCCACAGUGGUAACCACAUUUCUAACCCAAUGCAUAGAUGAGAGGUGCCUGGAAAGAUGGGCUGCAUGUCAUGAUUUUCAAGCUUAUUUUGUGAUAUCUCAUGUGGGAUAUGGCCCUGCCCAAGGUCCCCUGUGCAGGACAACAGAGACAGAAAGGGACUGCUUGCCAGCAGCUGCAGACACCCUGCUGCCCCAUUACAGGGCCACCCUCCUGCAAACGGCAGCACCGUUUCCUGACCGUACUGCGUGAUGCCUUUGCAUUCCUAAAUCCUUAAAUCCCUGCCUGCAUUUCUCGAAACACAACACUUCAGGAAAAGAGCAAGCCUGAGCCAGGGCUGCGUGGUGGCCUGGGCACCGGCUUCAUCACGUUCCUACCCAUUAGCCAAGCUGACAUCAUUAAAGUACAUACUCAUUUAAGGAUUACUCUAACGUUGCUCAUUUCUAGGUCAAUUAUUGACUUAAAUCAUGUUAAACUUUAACAUAAAUAUGCUACAAUAUCACCUGUACAUAUAUUACGAUAAUUAUAUGGUUACAAAAUUCUUUUAAAACAGCAAUUUCCCCUUUGGAAACUAGGGAAACUGGCUACUGCUGGAAAAUAAAGGCUCACAGACUGCUUUGAAAUCUACACAAAGAAAUCUGAAGAUUCCCAUUACCUUCCCAUCAGUUUCUCAGCAAUCGGUUUGGAUUAUUAAACACAUCUACAAAUUAAUUCCCCCUCAGUUAAAAUCAUCGCUUCCUAAAAACGUUCUCUCUAACCCUUUCGGAAAGAAAAGGGGGGGGGGCACAAGAAGUGAAAGGCACCGGAUCACAAACAACUUCUAAAGAUAGAAGCAAUGUGAGAUAAUGAAGAAAAUAUCAUCAUCAUUAAAAACAAAGCACUGCUAACUUUUUCACAUUGUAGCAAACUUUUCAAUUAAGAUUUCUUCCCGGCUAUUGAAAUACGCUUCAAGUAAUGAUUUUCUGUAAUUUGUCUUUUUCCUUUGGAAACAUACCGUGCUAUUGUCAGCUUUAAAAAAAGAAGCAAUUUUCUGACUUUUGAGAUUGAGCAGGUCAUGGAAAAAUUACUACUGUGGGAACCUGUAAUUAAAUGGAAAAUGCAGCUGCACUUAUGAAAAACUAAAAUUAAAUUUAUUCUAUUAAUACUUGAUUCCAGGAUGACAUUUGACUCUUCAGACACAGGUCCAACUGAAACGGCACCUUACCUGCAGCUUGCAAAGGCGGACGUGAUAGAAGAUGUACCAACAUAUUGCUAAUUAUCUGCUGUCCAAUUAAGUUACAUUCGUUAUAGCAGGAUAGUCAUUUAUGCACGUAGCCCUGCUUCUUUUUCUGGUACUGGCACUUCAUCUUUGGGUGUUUUGUUGGUUUUUGUUUUCCUAAAGGAGUCAAUUAAAAUAAAUCCAUGCAAAAUCAGUAACCCUAUUGUAAAUUUGAAUUGAAAGAAAGGAACUUUUGAGCAAAACUAUAUAAAACAGUGCAUCAGGUAAAGCUCUCCUCCUGGCUUUCAGCAGUCGUGAUAUGGAGACAAGAUUCGAUACAGUAUCAGGACACAAAACCAGGCUUCAGUUAAAGAAAAAAUACCAGGUUCCAACCAAAUGCUUACAGUGGACGAGAUACAGAGUUUAAAUUAUAUUAAUAAAAAUCUCCAAUAAGAUAUUUCUGUGACCCACGAUACCUUUUAAAACACCCAAAAUAGGCAAGGUGAACAAAAGGCGCACCAAGAGAUUCGGGUGCAGACGAAUUGACUAAGGAUCUAUUAGACACAAUCUGACAUCUGAUGGUAAAAAAUACUUGCCCAGAAACCUUAAAAUAUAAAGUUAGAAAUAAUGCAAGAAGAGCAGAUCAGUUUAAAAUAACUGUAUUAAUUUUAUUUAGUAAUUUUAAUUAAAAAACACCAGUGGUUUUUUUUAUUCAUUGGCAUUUAGGAACUUCUCAGAAUUUCUAGGGUAAUAGCAGGGAAUAUUGAGCGACCUCUCCUUAUUACAUGAUUUUUAGAAAUUACUAAAUAUGAAUUUUCUAUACUAUAUAAUAAUCUGUAAAACUAAAUUCCCUUUAAACCUCCACUAAUUUGCUAGUUUUGGGGGGUUCUUUAUUUGAAUACAUAGGGAGGAAAUUUUCCAUCUCCUGUUCAGCAAUCACACACACCCAGUUGUCUGUGCUAUUAUUAAAAGCACAACUAAAUCCACAUUGUUUAUUUCACAUUUAUAUUAUACAUCUACAUGUUAUACACUAUAACACACAGGUUGCAAUCCUUUCUUCGUAUGCAAAUUCAGCUCCACUAUUUUGAUUACACUUCCAUAUUAACUCUAAUACAGAUAUUCAUAACUCCUGUGAGAAGGAAAGCAGCGCAUCGGAGAUCUGCGAAGGAGCAAUCACACGCAGCCUGGGAAAGAUUUGUUCAUCUUUCAGAAGCGACUUGUGAGCAAUAGCGUGGUGGCACAGCAAGCCACAAAACCUGCACUGCGUGCACCGCCUGACUGAAGGCACUCAGAAGGGACCCGAGGAGCCAGCAGUACAUCCAUUUGAUUGCACGUGCACCACUUGCUUGCUCUCGGCUGCCUGUUUGGUCAGUGGCUUUUGCUUUCUUUUUUUUUCCCUUCAUGCUGUGGAGCUGGAUUCCUAUUUUCCAGCCACGUAUAUUCCACAGAGAAAAGGAAAACUGAUCCAUGAAGUUCCUAUUUGCAUAAAGCACAGAAACAUCUGUCACGAGCUCCUUGUCAGAGAAACGAGCAUCAGGAGCGAGAUACUGCGGCUGGUCGCCUGCCCUUAAUAAAAUUCAGUUCUUUUUCUGUCAAUAGCAGCUCAGAGUGAGAGUGUUUGAAGGGGCAGAGAAGAGAGAAUUUGACCAGAGAAGACAUUACAGUUUGAAACGAGCAAUCAGUUACGUGAUGCAGUCUCACUGAUUAAUGUGCCCAAGCGAGCUCUGCCCCAGGAUCAGAAAUGCCCUGUUCUAUUCAAUCUCAGCUCUUUGCAGGCGCUGUUCUUACAAAGGUGUAUGAUUAUUAAAUCAGAGUCCUGUAGAUGCCUGCAAUACACAGCAGCUUUCUACUGUUGUUAAACUUUUUUGCAGUAAAUGAUCCGUGGUGGCAAGGCUGACAACAGAAAGCAGUCGGUCUGCAGUGCUCGUUGGAGUUCUGAUUUCAGCCUCGGGAAUCCAAGAAAAAUAUCAAGGAAGACUUAUCUGUAUCUCAGAUCAGGAACAUUUUCAGUCUGUUUCUGUAUGUAUAUAUGAUGCAUGUCUACAAUCAUAAAUAUCAGGUGGAACAGCCAAUUUGUUCGUACAGAAUAUAUAAAUGGAACAGGAAGACGGGGAAGUAAAAUAGCAACUCUUAAAAACAGAGUAACUGUGUUAGGUCAAGUUAUUUCCAGAACCACUACAAAUACUUUGGGUAACAUACAAGAUUUCUAUUUCUAAGUCCUGUUCCUUUCCAUUAUGGACUAACCCUUAAAUUA